AGGAGGAUUCAACUCCCAUCAAGGAAGAACAGCCAAGAGCCGAGCGUAUAUUAUGGACCUGAGAUCCCUGCACUGAGAAGCUCCUAGAAGCAGGAGACUGAGAUAGAGAGAGGAAGCUGUAACCCUGAAGAUGCUUAAAUACAGACCAGAAGAGGAGUUUGGGGCUUGACACCUGACAUCUUAACACCAGUUCCUGUUUCUUGAGGAAGGAAGAGGUAAAAUAAAUCAGCGUUUACUGUGUCCUUCUCCAUCCCCGGAAGUCCUGAUGAAGACCCUCUCAGAGAUGCAGCACACACAGAAUCCCAGCUGGAUUACAGACUUGAACCUGAAGACCUUAUGCAGAAUGACAAUUUAUGAACCACUAAGCUCAGUACUAAAGCAGCUUAAAUACAGACCAGAAGAGGAGUUUGGGGCUUGACACCUGACAUCUUAACACCAGUUCCUGUUUCUUGAGGAAGGAAGAGGUAAAAUAAAUCAGCGUUUACUGUGUCCUUCUCCAUCCCCGGAAGUCCUGAUGAAGACCCUCUCAGCUUCUACUUGAACGUGAAUAUGAGCAACUGAUCAUCUGUUCUGAAGUCAGCCCCUGGCCUGAUUCUGACUCAUGGUAUUGACCUUCUCCAUCAUCACCUUCCACAAAUUUGAUUCCUAUCUAUUCUGCCUGGAAUGGUUCACGAGUAUAGUCACCAUUUAUGUUCCUGACGAAAGCAGGUGAAGGCAUUCGUGGAGAGAGGCAAUUUCCAUGCGUGCAGGCAAAGUGUGUGCUGAGAUGAUGAGUUGCUGGAGACCAGGGUGGACUCUUAAGACCCAGA